CCCGAGACUAUAGAGUCACAUCUGGGCCCUGCCCGUGGUCCUGGUGUGCUGGAGUGCUCGGACAGGAACCACUGAUCUCUGUUCACUGGCUGUGCCCUGCCUGGCUCAGUCAGUCACCGGGUUAGUGACAGCA
ensembl:snoRNA